AAUGGGGGCAACCCUGAUCCAGCCAUGCCGCGUGAGUGAAGAAGGCCUUAGGGUUGUAAAUCUCUUUCAAUAGUGAAGAUAAUGACGGUAACUAUAGAAGAAGCUCCGGCUAAAUUCGUGCCAGCAGCCGCGGUAAUACGAAUGGAGCAAGCGUUGAUCGGAAUCACUGGGCUUAAAGCGUGCGUAGGAGGACUUGAAAGUCGGGAGUGAAAUCCCAGGGCUCAACCCUGGAACUGCUUCCGAAACUCCAAGUCUAGAAUCCGGUAGAGGUCAGGAGAAUUCCUAGUGUAGAGGUGAAAUUCGCAGAUAUUAGGAGGAAUACCAGUGGCGUAGGCGCCUGACUGGGCCGGUAUUGACGCUGAGGUACGAAAGCGUGGGGAGCAAACAGGAUU
rnacentral:rRNA from 1 species